rnacentral:lncRNA from 1 species
AGAGAUUAAAAAACUAAUUAUCUUUAGCCUUUGCAAAGGGAUACCAUAAAAACAAAUUAUUCACAUUGAAAAAAAAAAUUGGCUGGAAAAACAAAUUGUGUGCUUAUCAAGUUUGUCCAACUAAAAUUCCUCAAUGAAACAAUGGUAGAUCCUGAAUAUGCAAAUGCAUUAGCAUGAUGUCGUCGAUAAUGGUUGAUUACAAAGAAAACUAUCUGAUAAAUAAAACAUUGAUGUCACACCACAUAUAACUAUCUGAUAAAUAAAACAUUGAUGUCACACCACAUAUAACUAUCUGAUAAAUAAAACAUUGAUGUCACACCACAUAUAACUAUCUGAUAAAUAAAACAUUGAUGUCACACCACAUAUAACUAUCUGAUAAAUAAAACAUUGAUGUCACACCACAUAUAACUAUCUGAUAAAUAAAACAUUGAUGUCACACCACAUAUAACUAUCUGAUAAAUAAAACAUUGAUGUCACACCACAUAUAACUAUCUGAUAAAUAAAACAUUGAUGUCACACCACAUAUAACUAUCUGAUAAAUAAAACAUUGAUGUCACACCACAUAUAACUAUCUGAUAAAUAAAACAUUGAUGUCACACCACAUAUAACUAUCUGAUAAAUAAAACAUUGAUGUCACACCACAUAUAACUAUCUGAUAAAUAAAACAUUGAUGUCACACCACAUAUAACUAUCUGAUAAAUAAAACAUUGAUGUCACACCACAUAUAACUAUCUGAUAAAUAAAACAUUGAUGUCACACCACAUAUAUCUUUUGGUGAGAUGGCAUAAAAAUUUCAAACAUCUACCUAACUGGAAAGUAUCAUGCACGAGUAACUGAGGCCAGGUUAGACGUGUUACCAUCCUGCAAACACAAACAAAGUGCAUCAUGUCAUUCGACAAAGUAAUGCAGAUAUCUGUAAAUAGACAAUAACAGAUAGGUUGAGAUUUUUGAGUGAUGAUCAAGUAAUAUAAAUCAGAAUUAGCACUCCUCUGAUUAGAUUCAAGGAAAUAUCGAUAGCAGUAUCAUCUGAGGUAUGGGCAGCAGAUAAGUAGUGUGCUUUGUUAUCUAGUAUUCCCUGCAAUAGCCUAAUAGGGGAACUGAAUGUCCAAAAAAGGGGGUGCUUUUGCCUAAGAUAUGAAAUUUGCACAUUAUGGAUGUUGAUAAACGUUCUGAAGAAAAUUUCUGGACAAAAACAGAUGAUACUACUACUUAUCGGUGUAACUUAAUUUACAGACUCUAGUUUUCCAUUUCAUGGCAAGGAGUAUUUCAACCACCUGAAAGAUUGAAAUUUGCACCUUCAACAUUUCUUGAACUUCCAAUUUUCCCCUAGUAACCCCAUUGUCCCAAAAGGAAAAAGAAACUAAUUUAUGUACACCUCCAACAUUCCCAGGUUCACUGGUUUCACUAAAUAUGCAUCCUAGAAAAACACAUCAACAACAACAAUAUACCCAGUAAAAUCACACAAAGUGUAGUCUGGGGAAGGUUGGGGAAGGUAGAAUGUACACAGACCUUACCACUACAUCAUGGAGGUAGAGAGGUUUCCGAAAGACUUUUGGCUCAGAUGCAACAAUUCCAGAUACAAAAAAGAAAAUAUAGCAAGAAAUACCAGAAGGUAGCAACAACACAAAAAUAAUG